rnacentral:misc_RNA from 1 species
UCCACUCCUUAAGAAAGAUAAACUCCACAAAAGUCCCCAUGCCUCUAAUGUGUGUUCAAACAAAGGGUUUCAACUUGCACAUGAAGAGAUUCACACACCAACCAUAAAUUCAACUUAAGUUAAAAGAUUAAAAUGCUUAAGAGAGUUUUCACUUUCAGAAUUAACAGACACAUAUAGGUUGCACAACUAAGUGAGCAAGAAAUACAUCGCCAUCAAAGAUGCACAAGCAAAUAAGUUAUAUAUUUAAAUCAAUAAAGUACUUUAUAAAUCAUGGUAAUUUCACAGCACCAGAAUCCUAAGCAGAAAUCUACUGAUCCUACACAUGAGAAAUUGUAUCAGGUCAUUCCAUUGCUGGAUCCAUUGUCCGUAUCAUGACAAGAGAAGGUCAACUUCCCUAAGUUUACAAAAUUAUUGAACAAACAAGCAUAAAAGAAGAGAGCAGAUCAGCAAGAGAAUCUAUUAUUAUUUAAGUCUUAUCAUCAACACUGGAUAGUGGACACAACAAAACAUA